rnacentral:rRNA from 1 species
CCUACGGGAGGCUGCAGUGGGGAAUAUUGCACAAUGGGGGGAACCCUGAUGCAGCAACGCCGCGUGGGUGAAGAAGUACUUCGGUAUGUAAAGCUCUGUCAGCAGGGAAGAAAAUGACCGUACCUGACCAAGAAGCCCCGGCGAACUACGUGCCAGCAGCCGCGGUAAUACGUAGGGGGCAAGCGUUAUCCGGAUUUACUGGGUGUAAAGGGAGCGUAGACGGCAAGGCAAGUCUGGAGUGAAAGCCCGGGGCCCAACCACGGGACUGCAUUGGAAACUGGGUUGCUGGAGUGCAGGAGGGGUAAGCGGAAUUCCUAGUGUAGCGGUGAAAUGCGUAGAUAUUAGGAGGAACACCGGUGGCGAAGGCGGCUUACUGGACUGUAACUGACGUUGAGGCUCGAAGGCGUGGGGAGCAAACAGGAUUAGAUACCCUGGUAGUC